rnacentral:tmRNA from 1 species
GGGGGCGACAGGCUUCGACAGGGGCUUGUAUAGAUCUUUGGAUGCACGUCGGGCUUGUUUGUAAGCUCGUUAAAACUACAAUCAAAACACAAAUGCCAAUAACAAUAUGGCUCUUGCUGCCUAGUUAAUUCUAGCCCGCAAGUGUUUCAUCACAAGUCAGCUUGAAGCGCGUGAAUGAAGCAUAAAUUAUUUUAAGCUAGUUUAUAUUCUCCGUCUGCGGAUAUAUGCGAAAUGUCAGCCGGGCUAGUUCUCCGCAAGGUCUUGUCAGUUCACUUACUUGCGGCGAGCGAAACUAAAUAGAGAACCGAAUAAACGUGUAGAUUCCCUCGGUCGCAACCUUUGGAUGCGGGUUCGAUUCCCGCCGCCUCCACCA